rnacentral:rRNA from 1 species
UACAGAGGUCCCAAGCGUUGUUCGGAUUCACUGGGCGUAAAGGGUGCGUAGGUGGUCGGGUAAGUCUGAUGUGAAAUCUCGGAGCUCAACUCCGAAACUGCAUUGGAUACUAUUCGGCUUGAGAGUUGGAGGGGGGACUGGAAUUCUCGGUGUAGCAGUGAAAUGCGUAGAUAUCGAGAGGAACACCAGUGGCGAAGGCGAGUCCCUGGACAGCUUCUGACACUGAGGCACGAAAGCUAGGGGAGCAAACAGG